rnacentral:lncRNA from 1 species
AUGUUUCUUGCCAGUGGCAUCAGGUGGAAGGCUCCUGACCUCGCAGAAGAGGGGGGAAGGCCAGACACCCCGCGCCGUCCGCCCUUGACCCUGUGUGGAGGUAACGGGCACCCCCCCUUCUUUAGACAGUCGUGUGCUUGCCUGGAAUCAGUGCUGUUCCGGGCAGUCCCGGAACCCUGUUGUGAGGAGGGGGGUGCAGGGCGCGGCGGACAGGGAAGGGUCGGAGGGGAUCCCACAGGUCUGACUGCCUAAUGUGCCUGGAGAUCCUCCUUACCUUCCCGGGAUUCAGUUUCCUCUAAAGCAGGGAGAGUCAUUCUAAUUUCAAAACAUUAUUGUCAAAAUUAAAUGAGAUUAAAGGAGCAAAGCCCUCAGUGUGCUUAUCUCAUGCUGUGUAACUGCUGGUUGGGGCCACCUCUUUUCCUUUCCUCCUCCCUCCCUAGCUCUUCUUCCUCUGUCUCUUCCUCCCUCCUUUUCUGCCUCUCUUCUGUCCUCCAGCCCCUCCCCUAGCCGCUGUCCCCUUGCCUGGUGGGCUCAGAGGAGAGGAGGAAGAGCUGAUGCCAGGAAAGCCUUGGCACCAGCCCUCUACUACCAGGACAGGGAUCCCCAAACCUCCUUCCGGUUAGGCUGUGUCGGCGGGGAAGAGCCAGGGAGAGGAACCCCGGCAGCAGGUGACAGGGGCUGUUUGUCCUCACUGUCCAUCUCCCUGGGACUACAAAACAGAGUACCCCUCACGCAGUAGAAAGAGAAGAGAAUACAUGAACGACAAAACGUGGGGCAAAAGACUUCUGAGGCAGCAGCCGUUAACAAAGGGAAAGUCACUCUCCACACCAGGAAAUGACUCCUCCUGCCCCUUCCCAUCUGCAACCUGAGGCUGUUACUGCUGCCGGCUCACCCAUCCCAAGCAUUAAUUUUCUAUUAUGAGUAAAAUUAAUGAAUUUAGCCAAUUUCUGGUGCUCAUAAAGUUGUGCUUUUCAUUACCAAGGUUAACAGCCUGCUAGAGACGUGGGCUCCUGGCAGAGCGCCCACGAGGGAGCUGGGACUGGGCAGAAGCCACCUGCAGUCAGAAGAGAGAGGGCGGGGAGCAGGGCUGCUGGCAGUCCAUAUGUGCCUCUGGGCCUGGGUCCCUCCUCCUCCCCGAGAGCUCGCUGCUUCUUUCUCUAACCCACCCAACUCUC